GAUAUCAGGGUGGCACUCAAGGUGUUGGGGAGGUGACUGUAGGCUGGAUGUGACAAGAGGAGAGCAGAUAUUAGUGAUCUGCUGUGUGUUCCCAAGCCAUCAGUGAGAAGUGGCUGCUCUCUGAGCAGUGGCAGCCAGGGACUCUGCUGGAAGGGUGCAUGAACUGCAGAGGAAACAAAUGCGAGGAACCCUGAUCUCUGCAAGACCACGGGGCAUCUGCCUGCCUGGAAGGAUGUGAUGGUCUGCAGCCAUUUCUAGUUUGAUGGGAUACAGCCUUUGUUUCACUCCUUGCAAUUCUGCUUGUGCAGUGGUGCAUAGUAACCUGGGGAGCUGCAAAGGGAAAAGUCAUUCAUCUAACCCUGAUCACAGGUGAAACAGGAAUUUGACCUCCAACCAAAGAGUAAGAAAGGCUGUUUUGCUGCGGCAGGAUGUUUGAAGAUGUGAAAUCUCGGAAGAUGAGCUUACUUGGAUCAAAAUGAUUUGGGCACUGUAAAUGAGCAUUCAAAGCUCUGAGAUGAUUUUGGGAAACCAGACCCUCAUGUUUUAGAGCAGAUAGCCCUGCCAGCAGUGAGGAGCCAUCCAGGGGGCUCCUUUGAGCCCCGACUUUACCGGUGCCCUCUGUAACUGCAGAUCCUAUAGAGCUGAAUCCCAAUGAGAUGCCUGAUGGUCCCCAGCCUCCUCCCCCUCCUCUCUCCCACAUCUCUCUGUAUUUCUAGCCCCAUGCCUAGAUCAUGCCCCAUUUGUCUAUUUGUUCUGUUGAAUCGGAGAGAAAAUGUUGGGACCCAGCUGCUGCUCUCUGACCUAUGGCUGUCUGCAGGAAAGGGCUGAGCCUUCACUUUGGCCUGGACCUCCUGCCAGAAAAAGUAUCUGCUUCUCCGCCAGGGAUGUUUAAAAAUUCAUGUGUAUAGACAGAAACCGAGGGCAGUUUUUAAGAAAAUGUCAAGGCAGUCCUUGAUGGUGUGCUUUCUCAGGAAGAAAUGCCAACAGAUCUUGGACAAGGCUUGAAAUCUGACAUUAAAGAAGGCUUGGCUGGAUCUCUGAAGCUAUCUGCUGCUGAACACAUCAGAAACCCAAAUGGUGUGUGAGUUGGAGGAGGAUGUGGGUGAGGUAAUGCAUCUCUAUCAGAAAGCUAUCCAUUCUGCUCUUAAAGACCUUGCUCUGUCUGAGAUUCCAGCACUCUCCUCAGAAAUUUCUCUCAUGGCUUAAUUGAGUUUGCAGUUUAAAAUAAAAAUAACAGUGAU
rnacentral:lncRNA from 7 species